UGAUGAUGGGAGGGACUGAAAAGCAUAGGAUGUUGCCCGUCUGUUUGGUGACUUGCUUGUCGAUUAGAUCCUCACUAUUCUGAUCCCGAUCCAUUGAUGCCAGGACUUGAGGGUGUGAGGCUGCUCCAGUUAUCCCAGAGUGCCCACGAGGGACCUGUUCGAGUGAUGCAGGCUUGCGACAAGUUUCAAGAUCGAGGGUGCCUGGAUCUGG
rnacentral:lncRNA from 1 species